UACGUAGGGGGCAAGCGUUAUUCGGAAUUAUUGGGCGUAAAGGGCGCGUAGGCGGCUUUGCAAGUGACGGGUGAAAUCCCUCGGCUUAACCGAGGAACUGCCUGUCAAACUGCAUGGCUUGAGACCGGGAGAGGUGAGUGGAAUUCCCAGUGUAGCGGUGAAAUGCGUAGAUAUUGGGAGGAACACCGGUGGCGAAGGCGGCAUCCUGGACCAACACUGACGCUGAGUGAGCGAAAGCCAGGGGAGCAAACGGG
rnacentral:rRNA from 1 species